rnacentral:rRNA from 1 species
AGUGAACGCUGGCGGUAGGCCUAACACAUGCAAGUCGAACGGCAGCACAGUAAGAGCUUGCUCUUACGGGUGGCGAGUGGCGGACGGGUGAGGAAUACAUCGGAAUCUACUUUUUCGUGGGGGAUAACGUAGGGAAACUUGCGCUAAUACCGCAUACGACCUACGGGUGAAAGCAGGGGAUCUUCGGACCUUGCGCGAUUGAAUGAGCCGAUGUCGGAUUAGCUAGUUGGCGGGGUAAAGGCCCACCAAGGCGACGAUCCGUAGCUGGUCUGAGAGGAUGAUCAGCCAGACUGGAACUGAGACACGGUCCAGACUCCUACGGGAGGCAGCAGUGGGGAAUAUUGGACAAUGGGCGCAGGCCUGAUCCAGCCAUACCGCGUGGGUGAAGAAGGCCUUCGGGUUGUAAAGCCCUUUUGUUGGGAAAGAAAAGCAGCAGGUUAAUACCCCGCUGUUCUGACGGUACCCAAAGAAUAAGCACCGGCUAACUUCGUG